rnacentral:rRNA from 1 species
GACGAACGCUGGCGGCGUGGAUUAGGCAUGCAAGUCGAACGGUAUCAUCCUUUCGGGGGUGAGAGAGUGGCGAACUGGUGAGUAACACGUAGGUUAUCUACCCUCAAGACGGGGACAACCCAGGGAAACUUGGGCUAAUACCGGAUGUGAGCAACUUUUAGUUGUUUGAAAGGUGGCGUAAGCUGUCGCUUGGGGAUGAGCCUGCGUCCUAUUAGUUAGUUGGUGAGGUAACGGCUCACCUAGGCAAUGAUAGGUAGGCGGCCUUAACGGGUGGUCGCCCACACUGGGAUUGAGAUACGGCCCAGACUCCUACGGGAGGCAGCAGUCGAGAAUAGUCUACAAUGGUCGGAAGACUGAUAGUGCGACGCCGCGUGAACGAUGAAUCCCUUCGGGGUGUAAAGUUCUUUUAUAUGUGAGCAGUGCUUUCUAUGUGAACAGCAUGGGGAAGAGAUAUUAGCAUAUGAAUAAGCAACGGCUAACUCCGUGCCAGCAGCCGAAC